GUGUUCCACUAGUAACCGCUUGCUGUUCCUGUCCUGUAAACCUGCCCGUUACCUGUAUUUCUGACCUGCUACCGGUCUGGGACCGGCUCGGCACAGCGACCUUUAUCGGGCCAGCAGCUCCUGGAACAGUUCCUUCACAUUGGAGUUCAUCUUGGCCGACGUCUCCAUGAAGGCACACUUCCAGGCAGUGGCCUGAGCCUCGCCCUCCUUCAUCUCCACCUCGCGCUGGGCCAUCUCAUCGCUCUUGUUGCCCACAAGCAUGAUAGGAAUGGACUCCACGCUGCCCUUGAUGGCCAGAACCUGGAGAGACACAGGAUCAAGUCAGUUAGGACUGUAUGUGUAAUGGGGAUGUAGGUGUCUCUGAAGGUGCCUUUAACAAAUCGUAGGACCAGCGAGCUCUUCCCCACCCCACCGGCUCCGAACACCACCACCCGGUAGUCGUUACUCUGCUCGGGCAUUCUGGGAGUUGGAGUCCACCGGCUGCUCUGGAUAAAUCACUUGUAUGCUGACGAACAGACGAGAGGAGAAAAUUUGCAUGUUUAGGUUCUUUUUAGUUCACAUCCUUGAUACAUAAUUCAGAUUCUUUUUUUCAUUGAUUUGACUGAUUUUAGAAAUAUAGAGAUCAUUGGACAAUGCAAACCCAUUAAACCGUAAAAAUGGUUUGACUAUAGCUAGAAAAAAGUUUAUUUUCAAACUGUAUUUGUUUUACAUUUUCUCUAUUAAUUGAGUUUAUUUGUAUUUACAGUGAAUUUUUAUCUCCAUAACACUAUGAAACUGAAUCAUUUCAUUUUUUUACCAUUAAUGAUGAUGUAAUUGAGUUAUUUGUAACAAGAUUUUAAGGGAUAGUUAAUGGAUAAAUGGAAUUAAGAUCAAACUUCAAUGAUAUUAAUGAAUUAUCCCCACAUUUACAAUUAAACCCUGAAUUUGCUUUUAAUGGAAAACUCAGUAGGGAUUCCUGUGCAGGUCUACAUCUUAAUGUUUUUCUUCUUUUUCCCUUUAAAAACUCGGUCAUUAAUGCAGAAACCUAUUAAAAUACCUUUUUACUGUAUAUUACAAUCCAUUACUUUA